UGAGUUUGAUCCUGGCUCAGAUUGAACGCUGGCGGCAUGCCUUACACAUGCAAGUCGAACGGCAGCACGGGAGCAAUCCUGGUGGCGAGUGGCGAACGGGUGAGUAAAGCAUCGGAACGUGCCCAGUCGUGGGGGAUAACGUAGCGAAAGCUACGCUAAUACCGCAUACGAUCUAUGGAUGAAAGCGGGGGACCGUAAGGCCUCGCGCGAUUGGAGCGGCCGAUGUCAGAUUAGGUAGUUGGUGGGGUAAAGGCUCACCAAGCCGACGAUCUGUAGCUGGUCUGAGAGGACGACCAGCCACACUGGGACUGAGACACGGCCCAGACUCCUACGGGAGGCAGCAGUGGGGAAUUUUGGACAAUGGGCGCAAGCCUGAUCCAGCAAUGCCGCGUGCAGGAUGAAGGCCUUCGGGUUGUAAACUGCUUUUGUACGGAGCGAAAAGGCUUCCACUAAUACUGGGGGCUCAUGACGGUACCGUAAGAAUAAGCACCGGCUAACUACGUGCCAGCAGCCGCGGUAAUACGUAGGGUGCAAGCGUUAAUCGGAAUUACUGGGCGUAAAGCGUGCGCAGGCGGUCUUGCAAGACAGGUGUGAAAUCCCCGGGCUUAACCUGGGAACUGCAUUUGUGACUGCAAGGCUAGAGUACGGCAGAGGGGGAUGGAAUUCCGCGUGUAGCAGUGAAAUGCGUAGAUAUGCGGAGGAACACCGAU
rnacentral:rRNA from 1 species